ensembl:lncRNA
GCACUGAAUGUGCAGCACAGUCGUGGAUGGCAGCCCUGCAAGGAGAGCUUAGGAGCUUCAUGACUUCAGAGUCCUCCAUUUUGUAACCUAGUGGCAUACAAAAAAUUAACAAUAUCUGACAAGGUAUGCGGAUUUUGAACACUAUGGUGCUGUUUCUUCAGAUUUUCUGGACAUAUGCCUCAGGUUGAAACUAGUUUCCUUCUUCGGAAGGAGCUGUGAAUUGCCCUUGAAAAGCUUACUUUUGAUGAGAAAGCGCAUUGAAACAGAGGGAGUUGGAUUUACUGAGCCUUUCUCCCUCCCUGCUUCACUCAUGAGUGACAUUUCAUAACAUCGAGAUUGCA